rnacentral:rRNA from 1 species
CUUAACGGCCAUGCCACCCUGAGCACGCCCGAUCUCGUCUGAUCUCGGAAGCUUAAGCAGGGUCGGGCCUGUUUAGUACUUGGAUGGGAGACCGCCUGGGAAAUACCAAGGUGCAGUAAGCU